GGGCUUGUGGCGUAGUUGGUAGCGCGUUCGCUUAGCAUGCGAAAGGUCUCCGGUUCGACUCCGGACUCGUCCA
rnacentral:tRNA from 1 species